UCAUAUGCUUGUCUCAAAGAUUAAGCCAUGCAUGUCUAAGUACAUGCCGUAUUAAGGCGAAACCGCGAAUGGCUCAUUAAAUCAGUUAUGGUUCCUUAGAUCGUACCUUAUUACUUGGAUAACUGUGGUAAUUCUAGAGCUAAUACAUGCAGCAGAGCUCCGACCUUCGGGGACGAGCGCUUUUAUUAGACCAAGAUCAAUCGGGCCUCGUGUCCGUGAAACGUGGUGACUCUGAAUAACUUUGAGCUGAUCGCACGGGCUCGUCCCGGCGACGUAUCUUUCAAGUGUCUGCCUUAUCAACUGUCGAUGGUAGGUUAUGUGCCUACCAUGGUCGUAACGGGUAACGGGGAAUCAGGGUUCGAUUCCGGAGAGGGAGCCUGAGAAACGGCUACCACAUCCAAGGAAGGCAGCAGGCGCGCAAAUUACCCACUCCCGGCACGGGGAGGUAGUGACGAAAAAUAACAAUACGGGACUCUUUUGAGACCCCGUAAUUGGAAUGAGUACACUCUAAAUCCUUUAACGAGGAUCCAUCGGAGGAAAAGUCUGGUGCCAGCACCCGCGGUAAUUCCAGCUCCGAUAGCGUAUAUUAAAGUUGUUGCGGUUAAAAAGCUCGUAGUUGGAUCUCAGUUCCAGACGGGCGGUCCGCCUACCGGUGGUUACUGCCUGUUCUGAACAGCCAGCCGGUUUCCUUUGAUGAUCUUCACCGGUUGUCUUGGGUGACCGGCACGUUUACUUUGAAAAAAUUAGAGUGCUCAAAGCAGGCGUGACGCCUGAAUAAUGGUGCAUGGAAUAAUAGAAUAGGACCUCGGUUCUAUUUUGUUGGUCUUCGGGACACGAGGUAAUGAUUAAGAGGGACAGACGGGGGCAUUCGUAUUGCGACGCUAGAGGUGAAAUUCUUGGACCGUCGCAAGACGAACUACUGCGAAAGCAUUUGCCAAGAAUGUUUCCGUUAAUCAAGAACGAAAGUUAGAGGUUCGAAGGCGAUCAGAUACCGCCCUAGUUCUAACCAUAAACGAUGCCAGCCAGCGAUCCGGCUGUGUUCCUCAAAUGACACGCCGGGCAGCUUCCGGGAAACCAAAGCUUUUGGGUUCCGGGGGAAGUAUGGUUGCAAAGCUGAAACUUAAAGGAAUUGACGGAAGGGCACCACCAGGUUUGGAGCUUGCGGCUUAAUUUGACUCAACGCGGUGCAACUUACCCGGCCAGGACUCAAGCAGGAUUGACAGAUUAACAGCUCUUUCUUGAUUUUGCGGAUUGUGGUGCAUGGCCGUUCUUAGUUGGUGGAGCGAUUUGUCUGGUUUAUUCCGAU
rnacentral:rRNA from 1 species